AGGCACAUAUCAUUGUUGCACUCAUAUCUUUUUAAAAAAAAAAAAUAAUUUAAACCUAGAUGGAGGCUGAUUCUUACAUGUUUGGGCCAUACAAGAUUGACAAAACAGAAGUCUUCUACUCCACUGAUUUGUCCUAUGCCUUGGUCAACCUCCGUCCCCUUCUUCCUGGUAAUUCUUACUCCAUCCGUUUUAAUUAUGUGAACCCAUUUGAUUUUGGGUAUGAAGUUUAAGAAAAGAGAAACCAAGGUAUAUCAAAUCCCACCUUCCUUUUUUCUUUCACUCAUCAAUUUUACUAGCUGUUUCCCCAGGCACAUAUCAUUGUUGCACUCAUAUUAUUAUUAUUUUCCAAAUUUAAACCCAGAUGGAGGCUGAUUAUUACAUGUUUGGGCCAUACAAGAUUGACAAAAAAGAAGUCUUUUACUCCACUGAUUUGUCCUAUGCCUUGGUCAACCUCCGUCCCCUUCUUCCUGGUAAUUCUUAUUUAUGUCUUUACCUGAAAAAUUGCAUAUGCUAGUAAAGAUCAUCUUCUCUCACUUUCUUUCUCCACUGAACUGAAAUUAUAUUUCUGGUAUUUUUUUAUUCGUAACCUUGGAUUUCCCCCCCUAAUUUUCUUUAAUUAGUAAUAAGCACACGUUAUUUUUGACUGAAACUUUAACCCUUGAUAGAAGGAGUGAUGCAUCCAGGAGCUGUACUCAAUACACAUAAUAACUAACACCAUUCAUUUGGAUGGUUGGAAAAUGGUAGAGCAAGCUUUGACAGUAAAAAGACAGGAG
rnacentral:lncRNA from 1 species